GCCCUUGUAGUUUAAUGGAUAGAACGUCGGCUUGCGGAGCCGAAGAUUACAGGUUCGACUCCUGUCAGGGGCA
rnacentral:tRNA from 1 species